CCAUGAGUAAAGUGGCGCACGGGUGAGUAACACGUGACUAACCUACCCUUGAGUGGGGAAUAACCUAGAGAAAUCUGGGCUAAUACCGCAUAACACCUACGGGUCAAAGGAGCAAUUCGCUUAAGGAGGGGGUCGCGGCAGAUUAGCUAGUUGGCGGGGUAAUGGCCCACCAAGGCGGUGAUCUGUAUCCGGCCUGAGAGGGCGCACGGACACACUGGAACUGAAACACGGUCCAGACUCCUACGGGAGGCAGCAGUGGGGAAUUUUGCGCAAUGGGGGAAACCCUGACGCAGCAACGCCGCGUGGAGGAUGAAGUCCCUUGGGACGUAAACUCCUUUCGAUCGGGACGAUUAUGACGGUACCGAGAGAAGAAGCCCCGGCUAACUUCGUGCCAGCAGCCGCGGUAAUACGAGGGGGGCGAGCGUUGUUCGGAAUUAUUGGGCGUAAAGGGUGCGUAGGCGGUUCGGUAAGUCUUAUGUGAAAUCUUCGGGCUCAACUCGAAGUCUGCAUGAGAAACUGCCGGGCUUGAGUGUGGGAGAGGUGAGUGGAAUUUCCGGUGUAGCGGUGAAAUGCGUAGAUAUCGGAAGGAACACCUGUGGCGAAAGCGGCUCACUGGACCACAACUGACGCUGAUGC
rnacentral:rRNA from 1 species